AGCGAACGCUGGCGGCAGGCCUAACACAUGCAAGUCGAACGAACCUUUCGGGGUUAGUGGCGGACGGGUGAGUAACACGUGGGAACGUGCCUUUAGGUUCGGAAUAACCCAGGGAAACUUGUGCUAAUACCGAAUGUGCCCUUCGGGGGAAAGAUUUAUCGCCUUUAGAGCGGCCCGCGUCUGAUUAGCUAGUUGGUUGAGGUAAUGGCUCACCAAGGCGACGAUCAGUAGCUGGUCUGUGAGGAUGGGCAGCCACAUUGGGACUGGGACGCGGCCCAAACUCCUACGGGAGGCAGCAGUGGGGAAUCUUGCGCAAUGGGCGAAGGCCUGACGCAGCCAUGCCGCGUGAAUGAUGAAGGUCUUAGGAUUGUAAAAUUCUUUCACCGGAGACGAUAAUGACGGUACCCGGAGAAGAAGCCCCGGCUAACUUCGUG
rnacentral:rRNA from 1 species